AUCCUUUUUUGUAUCCAACAGGCUGUAAAGCACAGACCGUGACGCUUUUGGGCCUGGAAAGAAAACGGGAGAGUCAGGGUCUCCCUACACCCCCUCUUCAAUUAAACUCAGGCCUUCAGGUCUGAGAAAGGCCACAGUAGAGAGGGGGAAGGGCCUGAUGUCGGUGUCUGCGAGGGAGCUGAACGAGCUAUCUCACUGUAACACCUGCCAAGAAAUACAAAGGACUUCUAGAUGACGAACAGCCUUCCUCCUACGCAUCCUCAUCAAGCC